rnacentral:misc_RNA from 1 species
CAACUAUCAAAGAGAAUCAUAUUAAAACAGCCAUUUGGAGAAAAGGCCUCUCUCUCUCUCUCUCCCUUAUAAAUGUUCGCCAAUAAAUGCAAAAAUCUCAUCUCCUCUCUUCUUAGAUUUUAUCUAUUCUCUCUACUUUCUAUCCUUCUAAUUUUCCUUCCCCAAUAUCUAUUCAAAAUCAAACAUCAAAAUCUCAUUUAAUAUUUUUAUUUAAUCAAACCCUAAUUCCCUCUGGAUUUGUAACAAUGGCGCCGCCUAUCAAAUCCAGCAAAGUAGGUUCUAAGGAAUUGGACGAGCUCCAGACUCCCUCCAGUAAUCUUUGGGCAGGGAAUUUGGCCGCUGGCGUGUCGCAUUCGGAUCUUAUGGAUCUAUUCGCUAAGUACGGUGCUCUUGAUAGCUUCACGACUUAUACGUCUAGGAGCUAUGCGUUCUUGUACUUCAAGCGCGUGGAGGACGCUGCAGCAGCUAAGGAGGCGCUUCAAGGGACGGUGUUGCGUGGGAGCCCUUUGAAGAUCGAGUUUGCGAGACCGGCCAAACCUUGUAAGCAUCUAUGGGUGGGUGGUUUCAGCCCAGCAGUUUCUAAGGAACAGUUGGAACAAGUGUUUCUUAAGUUUGGUCAAAUUGAGGAAUUUAAGUUUCAUAGAGACCGGAAUACUGUUUUUAUCGAGUAUGUCAAACUGGAAGAUGCUUCAGAAGCCAUGAGAAACAUGAAUGGAAAGCGAAUUGGUGGUGACCAGAUACGUGUGGAAUUCCUUCGUUUACAAUCCUUAAGAAGAGAACAUUUUUAUGAAUUUCGUGAUUCAAAAGAGAGUCAGUUUUCAGUUGCACAUUCUGGAGUAAAACAAGCUCAGCAUUCUCAGCUUUCAGGGGGCCAAAGGGAAGGCCUGCCCACUAAUGUACUGUGGGUAGGCUAUCCUCCAUCUGUGCAGAUUGAUGAACAAAUGCUCCACAAUGCGAUGAUUCUUUUUGGCGAGAUUGAGAGAAUUAAGAGCUUUCCAUCAAGGCACUAUUCCUUUGUACAGUUCAGAAGUGUAGAUGAAGCUCGGCGUGCUAAAGAAGGCUUGCAGGGGCGGCUUUUUAAUGAUCCUCGCAUCACAAUUACAUAUUCAAGCAGUGAGCUGGCUCCUGGUAAAGAGUACUCCACUCUUAGUCCUGGGGUUAAAGGAACAAGGCCAGAGAUUUUUAAUGAACAUCUUUUGGGGUCUAGCCAGCUGGAAAUAUUGGAUCAUCAUCGACCUAUGGGGCUACAUACUUUUCCUGGACAAUUGCCACCUAGUAAUAUUCAUAGACCAAACCCACCAUUGUGUCCUUUUGAUCCUCAAGUUGGUUUUGACCCUUUGCUUUCUAAUGCAGAAUAUAAUGAUUUGGCUCCUCUACUUGUUUUCCGAGAUGGGAAUUCUAACAUUCCAAUGGGACCUAACUGGAGAAGGCUAUCUCCUCCUGCAUCUGGGAUCCUUCCUUCUCCAGGUUCAAGGAUUAGGCCACUAAUGAGAUCAGUGUCUACUGGAUGGGAUGUGCUUGACCCUAGUCAGAGGGAACCAAAACGAUCAAGGAUUGAUCCACCAGUGCCCAUAGACGAUGAUUCUUUUGCCUCAAGGAAGAUUGAUGAUCGUGGGCUGGGUUUGGACAAAACAUAUAGGCUUGGGCCAGCUACUGAUGGAGGUAUCUCAGGUCCAUUCGUAAAUGUUCAAGGCAAGCGUAGUCUUAGUCCAGUUGGUGUAAGGGGCAUUGUAGUAUCUCAUCAACGUCAUCCUGGCGAUGAUUAUAUAUGGCGUGGUAUUAUUGCUAAAGGUGGAACACCAGUUUGCCAUGCUCGUUGUGUUCCUAUAGAUAAAGGGAUAGAAUCAGAACUUCCUGAAGUUGUUAAUUGCUCGGCCAGAACGGGAUUGGAUAUGCUCACGAAACACUAUGCUGAGGCCAUUGGAUUUGACAUUGUCUUCUUCUUGCCAGACAGUGAAGAUGAUUUUGCUUCCUAUACUGAGUUUCUUCGCUAUUUGGGUUCAAAAAACCGUGCUGGUGUUGCCAAGUUUGAUGAUGGGACAACCCUAUUUUUGGUCCCUCCAUCAGAUUUCUUAACCAAGGUGUUGAAGGUUGCAGGACCUGAACGUCUUUAUGGUGUAGUUCUCAAGUUGCCACAACAUGUCCCUAAUAGUGCAUUAAUACAGCCACAGCUACGACAGCCCAACCAUUUUCCUCAGUAUAUUGAUAGACGUCACAUUCCUCCACCAGAGGCUGAGUAUAAUCAAAUUCCUCGAGAGGAACAUAUGAUGCUAUUGGAUUAUAACAGGGUUUUGCACGAGGACUCAAAGCCUCUGUCGAAAACAUUUUAUACACCAGCAACUAAGUCCAUUGCAGAGCAGUCUAUCCCUCAAGAUUAUACUUCUGGUAACUCUGUAGCAGCUUCUCUAGCAGGAGUGUCGUUGACACCUGAGCUUAUUGCCACUCUUGCAUCUCUAUUGCCUGGAAAUGCAGAGUCAACUGGUUUAGAAGGUGGUCAACCAGUAUCAGGCUCUGUUGUUAGGCCUCUAUUUUCCUCAGUUGCUACUGAUCAAGGAACUUCCUCACUUGGUUGGAAGAAUGAUAAUCAGGUUUCUGGAAACACAGAUCAUAUAAAAUUUGGGAACCAAUUCAAUUCUCAGGCACAAGUUCAUUCUCAGUUUCAGCCUUAUCCAUCUGUACCCAAUGGACCUUAUAAUCCAGCAAAUAUGGUCCCUGCCAACACCCAAAUCAAAGAUUCUUCCGUCAACCUACCACAUCAGGGUGGAAUUCCAUCUAGGCCUUUGACUAGUGUUUCCAUGCCUUCCCAAAGUGGACAAGUUGGUUUGUCACCACAAGUCAACCAGCAGUAUAUGCUUGAUGUUCCUCAGCAGAAGGGAUAUGGUGGAAUGGUGCAUGGAAUAGACGUUUCUGGUCCAUAUAGUCCAUCAGUUAUUCAGCAACCUAAUAAUAAUGCUGCCUUCUCUAGUCAGGCUCAGGGCGGUAAUCAUUCCCAGUUACAAUCUGGGAUGCCUAUAUCUGCUGACAAAGUGAAUCAGCAGAAUCCCAAUCAGGUGCAGCAAUUCCAAACUGCUCUUCCUGGAGCUGGUCAGGACACAUCAGAGGAUGAGGUUGACAGGAAUGAGCGAUACCAAUCGACAUUACAGUUUGCAGCAAGCCUCCUCCUCCAUGUACAGCAGCAACAUCAGCCGCAAACAGGUAAUCCAGCAGUGCAUGGGUCUGGAAAUCAACAAUGAUAUUCCUUUAAUAAAGGUAGAGAGGUACAUACAAUUGGCUGUUGGCUUUUAUCUGCCCAUGGAGAAAGUUUGCGAUUUCUUCAAUUGAAACGCGUUCGUUUGCGUUUGCGUUUCAGCGCGGUAGAAAUUAAAUGUACUGUACAAAACUAUGGAUAACAGUUUCUUUUGGUCUUCAACUUCUUUUUGAGCAAUCCAUUUCUUUCAUUUCAUUUAUGUUUGCCAUUUCCCAUGCGUUUAGCUAUCGAUCACUACUGACAUCCAAAUUUCAUCUGACUUCCAAUAACUUCACUGGAAGACAUUGAUUGGUAGCAUUGGUAAAUUGAAGGGAUUGAUAAUUGGGUUAUACCAAAAAUUAAAAACCCUUAAUUCUUG